rnacentral:ribozyme from 1 species
UUGCAUGCCACAAAUGAAAAAAAAAAAAAAAAAAAAAAAAAAAAAAAAAA